rnacentral:rRNA from 1 species
UGGGGAAUUUUGGACAAUGGGGGAAACCCUGAUCCAGCCAUCCCGCGUGUGCGAUGAAGGCCUUCGGGUUGUAAAGCACUUUUGGCAGGAAAGAAACGUCAUGGGUUAAUACCCCGUGAAACUGACGGUACCUGCAGAAUAAGCACCGGCUAACUACGUGCCAGCAGCCGCGGUAAUACGUAGGGUGCAAGCGUUAAUCGGAAUUACUGGGCGUAAAGCGUGCGCAGGCGGUUCGGAAAGAAAGAUGUGAAAUCCCAGAGCUCAACUUUGGAACUGAAAUUUUAACUACCGGGAUAGAGUGUGUCAGAGGGAGGUGGAAUUCCGCGUGUAGCAGUGAAAUGCGUAGAUAUGCGGAGGAACACCGAUGGCGAAGGCAGCCUCCUGGGAUAACACUGACGCUCAUGCACGAAAGCGUGGGGAGCAAACAGG